UAGGGAAUUUUGGACAAUGGGCGCAAGCCUGAUCCAGCCAUGCCGCGUGAGUGACGAAGGCCUUAGGGUUGUAAAGCUCUUUUGGCGGGGACGAUAAUGACGGUACCCGCAGAAUAAGCUCCGGCUAACUUCGUGCCAGCAGCCGCGGUAAUACGUAGGGACCAAGCGUUGUUCGGAUUUACUGGGCGUAAAGGGCGCGUAGGCGGCAAUUCAAGUCAUCUGUGAAAUCUCCGGGCUUAACUCGGAACGGUCAGAUGAUACUGCUUUGCUAGAGUGCAGAAGGGGCAAUCGGAAUUCUUGGUGUAGCGGUGAAAUGCGUAGAUAUCAAGAGGAACACCUGAGGUGAAGACGGGUUGCUGGGCUGACACUGACGCUGAGGCGCGAAAGCCAGGGGAGCAAACGGGAUUAGAUACCCCCGUAGUCCCUGAGCGGGCUGGCAAGGCGCAU
rnacentral:rRNA from 1 species